rnacentral:rRNA from 1 species
CUACCUGCAGUCGAGCGGCAGCGGAGAGUACCUUGCUACUUUGCCGGCGAGCGGCGGACGGGUGAGUAGUGUCUGGGAAACUGCCUGAUGGAGGGGGAUAACUACUGGAAACGGUAUCUAAUACCGCAUAACGUCGCAAGACCAAAGAGGGGGACCUUCGGGCCUCUUGCCAUCAUAUGUGCCCAUAUGGGAUUAUCUAGUAGGUGGGGUAGCGGCUCACCUACGCGACGAUCCCUAGCUGGUCUGAGAGGAUGACCAGCCACACUGGAACUGAGACACGGUCCACACUCCUACGGGAGGCAGCAGUGGGGAAUAUUGCACAGUGGGCGCAAGCCUGAUGCAGCCAUGCCGCGUGUAUGAAGAGGGCCUUCGGGUUGUAAAGUACUUUCAGCGGGGAAGAAGGCGUUGAGGUUAAUAACCACAGCGAUUGACGUUACCCGCAGAAGAAGCACCGGCUAUCUCCGUGCCAGCAGCCGCGGUAAUACGGAGGGUGCAAGCGUUAAUCGGAAUUACUGGGCGUAAAGCGCACGCAGGCGGUCUGUCAAGUCAGAUGUGAAAUCCCCGGGCUCAACCUGGGAACUGCAUUCGAAACUGGCAGCUAGAGUCUUGUAGAGGGGGGUAGAAUUCCAGGGUGUAGCGGUGAAAUGCGUAGAGAUCUGGAAGAAUACCGGGUGGCAAGGCGGGCCCCCUGGACAAAAGACUGAACGCUCAUGUGCAAAAAGCGUGGGAGAGCAAACGGGGAUUAAUAUACCCCUGGGUACUCCACGCCCGUAAACAGAUGUCAACUUGGGAGGGUUGUGCCCCUUUGAAGGCGUGGUCUUCCGGAGCCUAACCGCGUUUAAACUCCCACCGCCCUG